rnacentral:rRNA from 1 species
AUGUCACAUUCCGCAAAAAUUUACAAUACAUGUAUAGGAUGCACUUAAUGUGUACGAGCUUGUCCAACAGAUGUAUUAGAAAUGAUAACCUGGGAUGGAUGUAAAGCCAAGCAAAUUGCUUUCGCGCCGAGAACCGAAGAUUGUGUGGGUUGUAAGAGAUGUGAAUCUGCCUGCCCGACAGAUUUUUUAAGUGUCCGCGUUUAUUUAGGGCCUAAACAACACGUAUCAUGGAUCUAUCUUAUUGAUACGUUACAAAAAACUUCACUCAAAUCGUCUGAGUCCUCUUUAGCGAAGAAGCAUGUGCUUGAAAUAAUCGAGCACGGGCUUUUCUGGUCAAAACGUAUCUUGUCUUUAUCACUUUAUCAUGAGUUAUUUUCCUUGCUUACAAUACUUGUUGUUUUUCCAAUAUUUGCAGGUUCAUUAAUUUUCUUUUUACCUCAUAAGGGAAACAAAGUCGUUAGGUGGUAUACUAUAUCUAUUUGUUUAUUAGAAUUCCUUCUAAUGACUUAUGCGUUCUGUUAUCAUUUCCAACUGGAGGAUCCCUUAAUCCAAUUAAAGGAGGAUUAUAAAUGGAUAGAUGUCUUUGAUUUCCACUGGAGAUUGGGAAUCGAUGGACUUUCAUUAGGAUCUAUUUUAUUGACAGGAUUUAUCACUACUUUAGCAGCUUGGCCAAUUACACGGAAUUCGCGAUUAUUCUAUUUCCUCAUGCUCGCAAUGUAUAGUGGUCAAAUAGGAUUAUUUUCUUCGCGAGACCUUUUACUAUUUUUAUCAUGUGGGAGUUAG